rnacentral:rRNA from 1 species
AACUAACGCUGGCGGCGCGCCUAAUACAUGCAAGUCGAACGAUGUAGCAAUACAUAGUGGCGCACGGGAGAGUAACACGUGGAUAAUCUCCCCUCGAGAGAAGAAUAACUAGUCGAAAGAUUGGCUAAUACUUCGUAAGACCACAGAAACAAAUGUUUCAGGGGUAAAAGUCGUAAGACGCUUGAGGAUGAGUCUGCGUCCCAUUAGCUAGUUGGUGAGGUAAUGGCUCACCAAGGCUUCGAUGGGUAGCUGGUCUGAGAGGAUGAUCAGCCUCACUGGAACUGACACACGGUCCAGACUCCUACGGGAGGCAGCAGUAGGGAAUAUUGCACAAUGGAGGAACUCUGAUGCAGCGACGCCGCGUGAGUGAUGAAGGACUUCGGUUUGUAAAGCUCUGUUGUCAGGGAAUAAAAAAAUAGAAUGUACCUGACGAGAAAGGACCGGACGUAACUUACGUUGCC